UGAGGAAUAUUGGUCAAUGGACGGAAGUCUGAACCAGCCAUGCCGCGUGAAGGAUGAAGGCGUUCUGCGUUGUAAACUGCUUUUAUUCGGGAAUAAACCUAUCUACGUGUAGAUAGCUGAAUGUACCGAAGGAAUAAGGAUCGGCUAACUCCGUGCCAGCAGCCGCGGUAAUACGGAGGGUGCGAGCGUUGUCCGGAUUUAUUGGGUUUAAAGGGUGCGUAGGUGGUUGAGUAAGUCUGGUUUGAAAGUCAGUCGCUUAACGAUUGAGGGUGGCUGGAUACUGCUGAACUUGAAUGCCCUGGAGGUAGGUGGAACGGGUUGUGUAGCGGUGAAAUGCAUAGAUAUGACCCAGAACCCCAAUUGCGAAGGCAGCCUACUACGGGGUGAUUGACACUGAGGCACGAGAGCAUGGGGAGCAAACA
rnacentral:rRNA from 1 species